UCAAUUAAGUGUUCAAGCGCUCAUGUUAUUUACAGUGACCCGAUCCAGCAAUAUCGCGUGGGUGAAGAAGGGCACUGUCGCUUAACAAGCUCUUUCGUGAGUUUAGAUCAUGACAGGACUAGAGGAAGAAGCCACUGAAAUAGGGGAGAGUGGAAUUUCGUGUGGAGGGAUCAAAUCCCAAGAUAUAAGAAGGAACGCCAACCGCGAAGGCAGCUCUCUGGGUCCCCACUGACGCUGGGGUGAGAAAGCAUGGGGAGAAAACAUGAUCAGAUACCCUGGUAGUCCAUGCCGUAAGCGUAUUCGUCCUUCGUCUACUUGCCUACUAAGUAGGAUUAGGAUGAGGGGGCAGCUAACGCGUGAAACACUCCGCCUGGGGAGUACAGUCGCAAGAUUGAAACUCAAAGGAAUUGACGGGGGCUGCACAAGCUGUGGAGCAUGUAGUUUAAUUCGCUAC
rnacentral:ncRNA from 1 species